UGAGGCACGAAAGCGUGGGUAGCGAACGGGAUUAGAUACCCCGGUAGUCCACGCUGUAAACGAUGUGAACGAGGUGUGGGCAAUGUAGAAGCCGUCUGUGCCGGAGCAAACGCGAUAAGUUCACCGCCUGGGGAGUACGGUCGCAAGGCUAAAACCCAAAGGAAUUGACGGGGGCCCGCACAAGCAGCGGAGCGUGUGGUUUAAUUCGAUGCAACGCGAAGAACCUUACCUGGGCUUGACAUGUACGUAGUAGUGAAGGGAAACCGGAACGAGCCUUCGGGCAGCGUAGACAGGUGCUGCAUGGCUGUCGUCAGCUCGUGUCGUGAGAUGUUGGGUUAAGUCCCGCAACGAGCGCAACCCGUGUUGCUAGUUACAAGUGUCUAGCGAGACUGCCGGUAACAAGCCGGAGGAAGGUGCGGAUGAUGUCAAGUCAGCAUGGCCUAUAUGUCCAGGGCUACACACACGCUACAAUGGCUGGUACAAAGAGAAGCGAAAGGGAGACCUGAAGCGAAUCUCAUCAAAGCCAGUCAUAGUUCGGAUUGCAGGCUGCAACUCGCCUGCAUGAAGUCGGAGUUGCUAGUAACCGCAGGUCAGCAAUACUGCGGUGAAUACGUUCCCGGGCCUUGUACACAC
rnacentral:rRNA from 1 species